rnacentral:rRNA from 1 species
UACGAAGGGGGCGAGCGUUAUUCGGAAUCACUGGGCGUAAAGCGUGCGUAGGCUGCCUUACAAGUUGGACGUGAAAGCCCAGGGCUCAACCCUGGAAUUGCUCUCAAUACUGUAAGGCUCGGAUUUGGGAGAGGAUAGCGGAAUUGUCAGUGUAGCAGUGAAAUGCGUAGAUAUUGACAGGAACACCAGUGGCGCAAGCGGCUAUCUGGACCAACAUCGACGCUGAGGCGCGAAAGCGUGGGGAUCAAACAGG